AUGAGGACUACUGUGUCAGGUAGCACAGUCUCCACAGCUGCCACUACAGGAGCCACCACCACUGCCAUGACGAGGGCCACCACCACUGCCACGACGGGGACUACCACUGCCACUGUUGCCACAUCUCCAGUCACUGACACCUCAACAUCUGAAUCUUCGACUGUAGUUGAUGAGGUCUCUUCUGAAUCAGCUAUUGACAGUACUACUUUCCCUGCAACAGAUGAAUCAACUUCACCAGGAACUGAAGUCACCACCCCAGCUAUUGAAGCAUCAACCUCUGAGCCUGAUGCCUCAACCUCAGCAGAUGAGUCCACCACUGGAGUUGUGGAAGCCACCACUGCUACUAUAGGAGCCACCACCAUUACCACCACAGGAGGCACUACUACUGCCACUACAGGAGCCACCACUACCACUGUGGGAGAUACCACCACUGCCACUAUGGGAGCCACAACCACUGAAGCCACUGCAUUGACCACUGAGGAUAACACUGUCGCAUCAUCCCCUGAAGCAACAACUUCCGUGGAUGCAAUCACUACUGAAUUGGCUAUAGAGGGUACCACUCUCCCUGUAACAGAUGAAACAACUUCACUAGCGACUGAUGUCACUACCUCAGAUGUUGAUGGCUCCACCCCAGCAGAAGAAUCCACCUCCCCUCCCACAGGAGCCACAGCCACGCUGGGCACUGCUGCUACCACUUCUGCAGAGACCACAAGUGCAGCAGACUCUACCACAACAGCUUCUGAGGCCACCAGCACAUCAGUGGACACCACAGUCUCUAUCACAGAUGUCACCAACACUACUACCAAUGCUGCCAGCACAGGGGCCACAACUUUGGGCACAGAAGCCACCUCUUCAGGUGCCACCGAUGCUAUCACCUCCACAGAAGAUGUCACCACCGAAGGGGCUGCCACUGCAGAGAGUGGUACCAGCCCUGACCAGAGCUCGACAGCAGAUACAGCUACCAGUUCUGCAGUGAAUACCACCGCUGUAGAGGGAAACCCUUGA
rnacentral:lncRNA from 1 species